rnacentral:rRNA from 1 species
AUUGAACGCUGGCGGCAUGCUUUACACAUGCAAGUCGAACGGUAACAGGCCGCAAGGUGCUGACGAGUGGCGAACGGGUGAGUAAUGCAUCGGAACGUGCCCAGUCGUGGGGGAUAACGCAGCGAAAGCUGUGCUAAUACCGCAUACGAUCUAUGGAUGAAAGCGGGGGACCGUAAGGCCUCGCGCGAUUGGAGCGGCCGAUGUCAGAUUAGGUAGUUGGUGGGGUAAAGGCCCACCAAGCCAACGAUCUGUAGCUGGUCUGAGAGGACGACCAGCCACACUGGGACUGAGACACGGCCCAGACUCCUACGGGAGGCAGCAGUGGGGAAUUUUGGACAAUGGGCGCAAGCCUGAUCCAGCAAUGCCGCGUGCAGGAAGAAGGCCUUCGGGUUGUAAACUGCUUUUGUACGGAACGAAAAGGUCUGGGUUAAUACCCUGGGCUGAUGACGGUACCGUAAGAAUAAGCACCGGCUAACUACGUGCCAGCCGCCGCGGUAA